rnacentral:lncRNA from 1 species
UGAAGAAGGCAGUUGGCUACUACUGUGGAAGUAUUUUAGUAACUGUGGAGCGUGGGAAAAUAUCCCUUUGUUGGCAGAGCAAUGAACUUGUCAUGUAAACUAACUGAUAUAUCCAAGGAAAGGGACAGUAUUUCCGGCUGUUUGUUCCUUUCUAUUGAUGGGUGUAGGAGCAACAGGAAUGGAAAUAACCCAAGGCAUCCUGUUCUCAAGGAGGUGGAGCAACCGACUUCUCCUUGGCUCAGAAAGCUUCCAAUGACAGGCUUGUCACCUAAGAAGAAUAAGUACUUGACAACUAUUUCGAUCAGUGAGACAACAUUGGGAGCUAAGCAAGUAAAAACAGGUUUCUUUCUUUACACAUUCUCUCCCUUCCCUUUACUUCCUGUCAGUCUCUCCCACCUAAGCAUGCCCACCCAUACACCCAGUGAUUUUGUUUAAUAGACAUGAAAAAACCCUGAAACUUUUGUCUUUGCCAUGUUGUGAUGGUCAGAAUAUUUUCUUUUUCUAUUGUUAUUUUUUUAAAGAAAUUUAAUUUUCUGUUUUGCCAAAUUUCAGAAAUACCAGUAAAAAUGUAUGUGUCCAUAUAAAAACCACAGAAAGAAUAGUGU